UCGCGUACCAGGUGGGAGCAAUUAAUAUAAAGCAACGCCGGCUUUUCACCUGUUGCGAAAAAUGAUGAAUAAGGCUCGUAGUAGCCGGCAAGUUCAACAUCGUCUGCUGGUAAACAACAUUCGUUUAAUCGCUUAUGACCGAAAUAUCGUGCUGAUGAAGCGUGAGUUGAUCAGGACCGGACUGGGGGCCGGAGGUUUACCUCCGUAGAAUGCGACUUUUGUGAGUAACGUCUAGAGAAAGUGAGGCCGAAUGAAGUGAGUUCCAGAUGCCAACGGAGAACGAUGAGACAGAUUGGCCGAUCGCCAAAAGAUUAGCGAAGGAAAAGCAACAUCAAAGGUACCUGAACACCCACCCAAAAGCGAAUUCUAGUUCAUUGCCAUUCAUUAGACUAAAUAGUUCACGUUGGAAAAGUGGACUGAAUCUUCAUCGGGAUCUGGACCGGUGGAAAAUGCUCAGCUGGAAACAACAGAGCUGACUGAAUAAACUGAUUUCAUUCAAAAACAAA